rnacentral:snRNA from 1 species
GCGACUAAAACCAGCGACUAAUCG